GUGCUUGCUUCAGCAGCACAUACACUAAAAUUGGAAUGAUACAGAGAAGAUUAGCAUGGCCCCUACACA
rnacentral:snRNA from 1 species